rnacentral:rRNA from 1 species
ACGCUCGACACCUACGGGAGCAGCAGUGGGGAAUAUUGCACAAUGGGGGAAACCCUGAUGCAGCGACGCCGCGUGAAGGAAGAAGUAUCUCGGUAUGUAAACUUCUAUCAGCAGGGAAGAAAAUGACGGUACCUGACUAAGAAGCCCCGGCUAACUACGUGCCUGCAGCCGCGGUAAUCUGAGCGGGCUGGCAAGGC